CCCAGAAAAGGCCCCACAAGUUUGAAAGAUUCGAGGAACCCACAGCGAACUCACUAAUAAAUACAUCCACUCUGUAGGGUAAAACAUCCCCAUCUAUUUACCAAAAGAUCUGAUCCGAAAAGACAGUACGAAAUGAGACUUCUCAGGAGACUGUCACACCAGGGAUAAACAAAAGUUCUGGUCAGAAGAAUGAGCUAAAUGUUUUCCAACAGAGGCCCAAGGAAGCCGACACUAUAAGGACCCUGGGAAGCUGUUCCUCCUAUGCACCCAGAGGAGGGUUGGGGGCAUUUGCCAGGUUCAGCGCAAGGGUGGGGUAAGGUGAAGGGAGGGCGUUCCUUCCAAUCCAGAGUAGCUCUAUCUAUGUCAUGGCUCCCGCAUUAAGUCUCUCCCCCAAAGUUUCCUCGUUAGAUCAAAGGUGUCAACUGUGGGGGAUGUUGAAGGGUAAGGGAAAGUAAGUUUUGAUGAGGAAAACUGAUCAGAGGAUGUCCCCGGACUCCAGCCAAGGAGCUUCAGAACGCGCGCGCAAACGCGCCCAGCACCCUAGAGCAGCCACAGGCGGUGACUGCUCAAAAGAAAUGACAAAAAGACUGGGCACGGUCUCCGAACCUCCUCCACUGGGCCCAUCACCUCAGUCGGUCUGGGCAUCUCCUUCUACUAGAUUGUACAUCUAGGGCCCAAGUCUGGGAGUGGAAGUGAUGAGGGACGCCAACUAGGCGGAAGAAGUGAGUUUGACUCGGGCUCCCGGUGACGAAAAGGAAGAUGGGAAACUCCAAGAAGAAACUCGGCUCUCGGUGGGGGAGAAAAAAAAAAGCAACUGUUUUCCUCACUCUAUUUUCUUCCAAAAGCAAGAAGAGAAAUGAAAAAACUUGCAGAGAAAAAAACUUUGUUGCAACCACAAACCUGGGACAUCCUGCCCAGGGAGAAUGCGAAGAAGAAAGAGAAGAGAUGUGAUGCGAAAGAAUGGGCCGACCAAGGCCAGCAGGGGGUCCGCUUUGGGGGCAUCAGACGAAGGAGCCCUUGCUCCCCAUGCCCUGUGAUUAGGAGCAGGGGAACUACAGCCAUCCCACGCAGCCUGGGAAAACUGAAAAUGGGAAAGACGAAGAAGAAUAGAAAUAAGGAUCUAAACUUGGAAGGCAGAAAGAGGAAAAGUUGUUUGGGGGAAAAGCAAAGUUAUAUUGUAGGAAGAAACGUUUAACUUUUCUUAAAAGUGAACUUUCGAUGACCCUCGGAGUGUGUGACUCGGCUUUAACAGACAACUGACAAUUAAAACAAACACGAGUUCACAAACUGGCCCCCGCCCGCUCUCCCAACGCGGAGGCCCAAGGGUUUCUAAAGAACCAGGCCGAUUGCGCUCAGGGGGUCGGGGCGCGCUCUCUCAACCCACGGGAUUAGAGCCACCAAGACCACUACUCCCCGCCCCCACCACCACUGCAAAGUGCCUGAGCUCACCCAGUGGCGGCUAAUAAUGCUAAUAACGCGACCCUACUCCCCGCGCCGGGGUGCGCGCUGGCCCCCCGCCAGGCACUCUUAAAGGCACAGGGGCCUGUAACCUCCCUGUUAGUCGGCAGAGACUAGCCUGCAACCUGGCCUAGGUCGGGAGGGUGGGGGGUAGAGAAUGCGCUUCUCUGAGUAGCUGGCCUCUAGUCCCAUUGCCAGAUCUCCCAACCAAAGAGUUCCCUUCCCCUUUCGAGCCCCUGCCACACACCCCCCUAGUGCCCGCGCAGUGGACGCUUA
ensembl:lincRNA